GGAUGUAGCGCAGUUGGUAGCGCGCGUGGUUUGGGACCACGAUGUCGCAGGUUCAAAUCCUGUCAUU
rnacentral:tRNA from 1 species